GAGCCACUUUAUAAUCUGAGUCUCUGUGUCUGUGCUCUCUCUGUCUCCCUUUCUCUCUCUGUCUGUCAGGCCAGAACAUAUGACCAGGGAGGUGUGGGACUUCAUCUUCUUUAAGAGCUCUCCCUUCCCCCAAGAUGAAGAUCCCCAAGGAACAUCUGUAGAGGCUGAGGAGGGAGUUUGAGUACUUGUACACCAUGGAUGCCCGUGUGUCUGGGAAGGACCUGGUGCCCAAUCAAUUGUACAACCAUGUGGCCGUGUUGGCCAAAGACAGAUGGCAACAUCUUCACUCUGAGUAUCGCCAUCUCCAAGUUCUCUGCUGACGGUAAGUAGGGCCCUAUAAGCCUUCCAGCCUCUUAACUCAACAUCUCCUAAUUA
ensembl:lncRNA